AGAAUCAACGCUGGCGGCGUGCCUAACACAUGCAAGUCGAACGAGAAAGUGGAGCAAUCCAUGAGUAAAGUGGCGACCGGGUGAGUAACACGUGACUAACCUACCUUCGAGUGGGGGAUAACCUCGGGAAACCGAGGCUAAUACCGCAUAACAUCGUGAGAUCAAAGCAGUAAUGCGCUGGAAGAGGGGGUCGCGGCUGAUUAGCUAGUUGGCGGGUAAUGGCCCACCAGGCGAAGAUCGGUAG
rnacentral:rRNA from 1 species